rnacentral:tRNA from 1 species
GCCGCGGUAGCUCAAGUGGUGGAGCAUCGCACGUGAAAUGCGAAGGUUGUGGGUUCGGUCCCCACCUGCGGUA